rfam:Mus musculus chromosome 9, GRC primary reference assembly.
AUACUUACCUGGCAGGGGAAACAUUGCAAUCACGAAGGCAGUUUUCCUAGGGCAAGGUUUAUCCAUUAUGCUCUGGAUGUGCUAAACCCUGUGAUUUUCCUAAAUUCAGAAAACUCGACUUGAUAAUUUGCGUUGCAGGGAGGGAUGCUCUCUCUUG